ensembl:processed_transcript
AGCCAAUCAGCUUUUAUAAUUGCACUGCCAGCAGGCAUGUCGUUAAUGCUUCAGUUUGUUUUAAAAUAAAGAUGAAAUGCAGAUUAUAUGAUCGCAAAACAAGUUUGACAUGGAUAAAUUAUUGACGGAGAGAAAAAUGGGGUUUAUUUCGACACAGUGGCGGUUGCUGUUGGUGAGGACUAUACAUAUCACCGUGGACCAUGGCUUCAGCUAACAACUAAUUCUAAAAGAAAAGUCAACUACU